GAUGAAGAACGCAGCGAAAUGCGAUAAGUAGUGUGAAUUGCAGAAUUCAGUGAAUCAUCGAAUCUUUGAACGCACAUUGCGCCCUUUGGUAUUCCAAAGGGCAUGCCUGUUCGAGCGUCAUUUGUACCCUCAAGCUUUGCUUGGUGUUGGGCGUCUUGUCUCUAGCUUUGCUGGAGACUCGCCUUAAAGUAAUUGGCAGCCGGCCUACUGGUUUCGGAGCGCAGCACAAGUCGCACUCUCUAUCAGCAAAGGUCUAGCAUCCACUAAGCCUUUUUUUCAACUUUUGACCUCGGAUCAGGUAGGGAUACCCGCUGAACUUAAGCAUAUCAAUAAGCGG
rnacentral:misc_RNA from 1 species